rnacentral:rRNA from 1 species
AGUGAACGCUGGCGGUAGGCCUAACACAUGCAAGUCGAACGGCAGCACAGUAAGAGCUUGCUCUUACGGGUGGCGAGUGGCGGACGGGUGAGGAAUACAUCGGAAUCUACUUUUUCGUGGGGGAUAACGUAGGGAAACUUACGCUAAUACCGCAUACGACCUACGGGUGAAAGCAGGGGAUCUUCGGUCCUUGCGCGAUUGAAUGAGCCGAUGUCGGAUUAGCUAGUUGGCGGGGUAAAGGCCCACCAAGGCGACGAUCCGUAGCUGAUCUGAGAGGAUGAUCAGCCACACUGGAACUGAGACACGGUCCAGACUCCUACGGGAGGCAGCAGUGGGGAAUAUUGGACAAAGGGCGCAAGCCUGAUCCAGCCAUACCGCGUGGGUGAAGAAGGCCUUCGGGUUGUAAAGCCCUUUUGUUGGGAAAGAAAAGCAGCAGGUUAAUACCCCGCUGUUCUGACGGUACCCAAAGAAUAAGCACCGGCUAACUUCGUG